CUGCGAUAUACUCCAUUUAAUUCAUAACCAAAUAUACUUACAUAAACUCACAAUACACAACUGUGAUAAGCAGACAGGUAGAAAAGAGAACAGCUCUCUAUAUAUACCAUACUAUAAUGCAGUAUUUAACAAACCAAAAACAUCAUUACUAACUCAGGAGUGAGCUGCCUUCCUUGAAGAAGACAAACACACUGUUGCCAUCUCCCCUUGAGAUCCUGAGUUCCUCAUCAAGGUAGGUGGUAAGCAACCAGGACUCUGCUUUGCUGUUAUUGAUUUGGAACUUGAGUGGGGGCUUACCGUUAAUGGUCCUCGCAACAGAAGUAGCUGCAUCCUGGAUGGAUGUGAUUACGCCCUUGAAAGGCGAGAGAUCGAUGCUUUGGUUGAAGAACUCCACCUUGUCGGGUACGACGAGGGAAUCUGUCAACUGUGGGGUGCCAAUGAUGCCUUCCUCAAAUUUUAUCUGGACGCGCUUUGGGCUGCGGACUUCAAACUUGGCGUUAGUCGUGACCGAAGUAGUAGCAAGUGGUCCAGUGAACUGCACCGAAUUCUGCACUGUAAACGCCUCCGAAUCAAUUGUCUGCGAUAUCUCCGCCACCUUCACCAGCUCCGGCAGCCUCCCCGAUCCCAGCAGAGGGAACAGCUGCGAAAACGACGUGUACGCGAGAAUCCACUUCCCGUUGAGGAGCGGGAGAGCUUCGGUGGGAGCCGGGGUGGGGUUCUUGGCCUCGAUCUGCGUGAUUAGCUCGACGAUCUCGGCGCGCGUCUCGCUCGACGCGUUCAGGCCCCGAUCCGUACCGUAGAGGAGAUCCUUCAGCUUCUGCUUCAGAUCCGCGAUCGAGCCCGGUUCCGGCACCUCAGGCACCUCCUCCACCGCCAAUCCGCUGUUAUCUCCGGGUUCUGAGCCCCACUCGUCGUCCACGGCGGCGCGGAGGCGGAGGGAUGGCGAUUCCAGCGCCCGCCGCCCCGUGAUGCUGAGGAUCGGGGCUUUCCGUGGAGGGAGUGGCACGCCGAUUGAGGAGGAGAUGGGCAGGAGCUGUCGGCGCGCCGCCGCCGACGCCGAGGCAGCCGGGAGGGCUUUGAGGGCGAAGGGAUUACAGGUCGCCGCCAUAGGUUGUCG
rnacentral:misc_RNA from 1 species